UACAGAGGUCCCAAGCGUUGUUCGGAUUCACUGGGCGUAAAGGGUGCGUAGGCGGUCGGGUAAGUCUGAUGUGAAAUCUCCGGGCUCAACCCGGAAAUGGCAUUGGAUACUAUUCGGCUCGAGGUCUGGAGGGGGGACUGGAAUACUUGGUGUAGCAGUGAAAUGCGUAGAUAUCAAGUGGAACACCAGUGGCGAAGGCGAGUCCCUGGACAGAUCCUGACGCUGAGGCACGAAAGCCAGGGGAGCAAACGGG
rnacentral:rRNA from 1 species